rnacentral:rRNA from 1 species
AAGAAACGCGCAGAACCUUACCAACCCUUGACAUGCCGAUCGCGACUUCCAGAGAUGGUAGUUUCAGUUCGGCUGGAUAGGAUACAGGUGCUGCAUGGCUGUCGUCAGCUCGUGUCGUGAGAUGUUCGGUUAAGUCCGGCAACGAGCGCAACCCACGUCCUUAGUUACCAGCAUUUAGUUGGGUACCCUAGGGAGACUGCCGGUGAUAAGCCGGAGGAAGGUGUGGAUGACGUCAAGUCCUCAUGGCCCUUACGGGUUGGGCUACACACGUGCUACAAUGGCAGUGACAAUGGGUUAAUCCCAAAAAACUGUCUCAGUUCGGAUUGGGGUCUGCAACUCGACCCCAUGAAGUCGGAAUCGCUAGUAAUCGCGUAACAGCAUGACGCGGUGAAUACGUUCCCGGGCCUUGUACACACCGCCCGUC